AUUAUGUGAAAUUUUUCAAAAAGUUUAUUAAUUGAAAGUGCAUCUGAUAUUUUUUUAUGUAUGUUACUUUAUUUUCUAAAAACAAAUGGACACAACAUAGAUUGACAAUAAGAUAUUGAGAAGAACCACCUUGUCAGCCAGGAUAGCAGCUCUUAGGAAGAUGGUUAAUUAAAUCUUCAACCAAGUCUGACUCUUUACCAUGAAAAUAGAAAAGGUUCUUUCUGAGACAUGUUUUCAUGGUGUGGGAAUAAGACUUGGUGGUCUUAUACAGCUAAUACAAAGGUUAGCAUCACAGCUUGUCUGUAAGGAUUGAAGCUGGGAGUGGGCAUUGGAGCUGACUUUUAUGAUAACUGUGGCUGCAUAAAAUGGUUGUGUGAUAUAACUGCAACAGUAAAGAAUGUAAUUUAGACUAUUUUUGUGUAUGCUUGAGAAAAUGUUUAUAAUUUUUUUACAAAAAAAAAAAAAAAAAUAUGUAAAGAUUCUCCAUUUUCAACAAGAUUGGAAGUUGUAGGUGAACUUGUAUUUGACAUUACAAAAAUUCUUUCUAUUUUCCGUUUAUACUCAUGUCUAGUCAAAACACUUCCAGCAGUUUAAGAAUGGAUAAUCUAAAAGAAAAAGAAAGAA